AUGAACGCUAGCUACAGGCUUAACACAUGCAAGUCGAGGGGCAGCAUGGUCUUAGCUUGCUAAGGCCGAUGGCGACCGGCGCACGGGUGAGUAACGCGUAUCCAACCUGCCUUACACUCUUGGACAGCCUUCUGAAAGGGAGAUUAAUACAAGAUGUUAUCAUGAGUAAGCAUUUUCGCAUGAUUAAAGGUUUACCGGUGUAAGAUGGGGAUGCGUUCCAUUAGAUAGUAGGCGGGGUAACGGCCCACCUAGUCUUCGAUGGAUAGGGGUUCUGAGAGGAAGGUCCCCCACAUUGGAACUGAGACACGGUCCAAACUCCUACGGGAGGCAGCAGUGAGGAAUAUUGGUCAAUGGACGAGAGUCUGAACCAGCCAAGUAGCGUGAAGGAUGAAGGUUCUAUGGAUUGUAAACUUCUUUUAUACGGGAAUAAACGAAUCCACGCGUGGAUUUUUGCAUGUACCGUAUGAAUAAGGAUCGGCUAACUCCGUGCCAGCAGCCGCGGUAAUACGGAGGAUCCGAGCGUUAUCCGGAUUUAUUGGGUUUAAAGGGAGCGUAGAUGGGUUGUUAAGUCAGUUGUGAAAGUUUGCGGCUCAACCGUAAAAUUGCAAUUGAUACUGGCAGUCUUGAGUACAGUUGAGGUAGGCGGAAUUCGUGGUGUAGCGGUGAAAUGCUUAGAUAUCACGAAGAACUCCGAUUGCGAAGGCAGCUUACUAACCUGUAACUGACAUUGAUGCUCGAAAGUGUGGGUAUCAAACAGGAUUAGAUACCCUGGUAGUCCGCACGGUAAACGAUGAAUACUCGCUGUCGGCGAUACACAGUCGGCGGCCAAGCGAAAGCGUUAAGUAUUCCACCUGGGGAGUACGCCGGCAACGGUGAAACUCAAAGGAAUUGACGGGGGCCCGCACAAGCGGAGGAACAUGUGGUUUAAUUCGAUGAUACGCGAGGAACCUUACCCGGGCUUAAAUUGCAACCGAAUAUGGCGGAAACGCUAUAGCUAGCAAUAGCGGUUGUGAAGGUGCUGCAUGGUUGUCGUCAGCUCGUGCCGUGAGGUGUCGGCUUAAGUGCCAUAACGAGCGCAACCCUUGCCGAUAGUUACUAACAGGUUAUGCUGAGGACUCUGUCGGGACUGCCAUCGUAAGAUGUGAGGAAGGUGGGGAUGACGUCAAAUCAGCACGGCCCUUACGUCCGGGGCUACACACGUGUUACAAUGGGGGGUACAGAGGGCUGCUACCACGCAAGUGGAUGCCAAUCCCAAAAACCUCUCUCAGUUCGGAUUGAAGUCUGCAACCCGACUUCAUGAAGCUGGAUUCGCUAGUAAUCGCGCAUCAGCCACGGCGCGGUGAAUACGUUCCCGGGCCUUGUACACACCGCCCGUCAAGCCAUGGGAGCCGGGGGUACCUGAAGUGCGUAACCGCAAGGAGCGCCCUAGGGUAAAACUGGUGACUGGGGCU
rnacentral:rRNA from 1 species